GCACCCCCUGCUCACCUUUGGAAAUGGCUUUAAAGACGAAGCCCAUGAAGAAGGUUCUGAAGACAAAAAAAGAAGAGAAACCUGCACAGGAAUCUUCAGUUGAACACAAAGCAAGAAACCCAGAUACGAUUGGCUGCGCUGCAGAAGGCGACUGAGUUACAGAAAACGCUUGCGAAGAUCAGGACUGCGUCUCCCAAACUUCCCAGAGAGGAUUUAUUCUGGAUUCCGGAUAACAAAAAGGUGUCCGUUGUGUAUCUGGUCUUCAACCCCGACGGACAAGUCAUUUCCACAAGGAGAGAGGCAGAUUGAUUUCAUCGCCGCACUCUAUCA